ensembl:lincRNA linc-110 ncRNA
CAAGUGGUUGAAAAAGAAAAAAAAACGAAAAAAAAAAAAUGCAAAAAGAAAGGAUGUGGGUGUGUUUCAAAUUGACUCACUUCUUCUUGCUGUCUCUUUCUGAAUUUCUUCCAUUUCUCACUUUCUGUUCCAUAUUUGGCUUGCGGGGGCUCUUCCGCGAGCCCAUUAGAGAGUACAGGACUUUGAAGAGAUUUAGAGAAAGAGAGAAACAUAGAGAGUAAGAGAUGCAGUAAACAACAACAAAGCAGAAGGAGCCAGCCGAUAGGGAGGAGUAAAAUGAGAUGAAUUAGCUAGGGUAGCGGUUUUACGUUUUGAAAACGAAAAACGAUGAAUUUUGAAUGAGAUACUACGGGUACGAAAACGAAUAAUGAGAGAGAAGGCGAGAAAUUUGAGUUUUUUAUUGAAAUAUUUGCCAGAAUCAUUGCGAUGGGUGACCAAUGCUCAAUUUCUUUAAAAAUAUUUAUUUGGAAAAAAUAAAGUGCAUAUGAGAGAUGAAUAAGUACGUACUGAUUACAUUUAUUCAAUUCGGUUAAUGACUUAAUAUGUAGAUGAAUUUCAUUUUUUGAAAACUAAAUCAUUUUAAGUGGAAUAAAAUGGAAGCACUUAUCCACAUUCAUCCACUUUGCAAAAUGAAUUUAGAAGUGACCCUUCCGCUUCGAAGACGACGUCCUUUCACACAUGGAACAUGUUUCUGGUUCAGUUGUCAUGGAUACGCAGACUGGUCAUUCUCUGCUGGAUAUCUACUUUGAAUGCCUACAAAUGGAUAAAUUCCCGAAUUCCCGAAAAAAAACAAGACACCUUAAAAGUUUCCUCAUAUCAUCAAAAUAUCACUGUAGAAAAAUUGCUCUUUACUGUUCUAUUAAUUCAAACUUCCAAAGAUAUAAUUUCAAAAAAAUUCCGGAUUUAAAGUAUUUGCAGCAGUUUUAAUAAAUUAGCAACGUAGUGUGAUUAUAAUUCUAGACAACACGUCUGAAAAAUUAACUAUUGUAUUUUAUAAAAUUGGUACGGAAAAGUUUUUUUUGGAAUACCUUGAAAAUUAUAGUGCCGAAGCAUCUAACUAUUUUAUUUACCAUCGACUUUCCCACAAACAACUAACCCAUUUUCCAGUCAGUUUCUCCAAAUCACAAAUAGAGUUGUCAAUCAUCGGGAGGUGCAAUCUUUGUCUUCAGGACGUACACCUUUCUCGUGUUUUCGAUCUCUAAGAUCAAGGUCAAAGAAUAUUAGAGCAGUAAACUCAGUCAAGAGCGAGUCACGGCAACUCGGUCCAAAACCAUUUCUAAUUAGUAAACUCUCAAAAACCACAACUAAAUAGCUUAAAACCAUUGUAAAUUAGCUUAUUUUUGCUAAUUAGCAAUGAUUUUAAGCUAAUUAGUUGUGGUUUUUGAGAGUUUACUAAUUAGAAAUGGUUUUGGACCGAGUUGCCGUGACUCGCUCUUGACUGAGAAGUAAUUCUAUUUUUAAAUACAAGUAAGCUUUAAAAUGAAUGAGAGAUAGUCGUGUGUUAUGAACACCUGAAAACUCAAACUUCACUUAUUGAUGGUCUCACAUAACACUUUCAGGAAUGUUAUAGGAGCCUGACUGGAGCUCAGUUGAGACGACCGAAGAACGUGAAAAAGGUACCCCCUGAAGCCCGAGUUGUGUUCUGGAUAAGAAAUCUAAUGGGCUUCUAUGCACCUGAAUUGACGAUAAUUAUCACCGAACUGAAAAUUCAUUUCUUUUUGUGCCAAGCUCGCCUCGUAAAAAAUCCCAAUGCAAAGAAUCCUAAACUUUCAUUUAAAUAUUUUCAGAAUUUAUUGUCAAUUAUAUUAGUGUCCCUGUGUUUUUCUUGUUCUUUACAUAAAAACAAAAUAGGGGCAUUUCAAUAAAUUUAACUCCAGCUGCUCAAUGAAAUAUUGCUAUAAAAAUAGAGUUCUGAAUAUCUCUUACACAAAGUUUUGUUUUAUUGAACAACACAGAUUCCAAUAAAUUGUUACAUCUACCGUAAUCUUCAGUCUUUUUCUUACGUAAUUCUGUUCAGAUCAAAUGAUGCCAUUAUUCGAGUUUCUUCUCAAUUUAUCGAACCGCAGCUGACUCUCUUAAACUAUAGUGAAAUGGGGCAGAUGUUUGUGGAAUUCCCACUCUUGCAGCCGCCCGCCGUGUGUUCACCUCAUCAUUUAUCAACUCUAAUUGCACUUCAAAAUAACAUAGACUUGUUUGUGUGAUAUAGGGCGUAAGCCCGUUGAUAACAGUUGUCAGGGUCAUCACCUUGUCUCUUUUCACCCCGUGUCAAAUUUCAGGAAUGUGCAAUAUCAGAGUGAUUGAAGAGUCGCAGUGAAUGAAAGAAACAAUGUAAAAUCCUUCGUCAAGUCAGCCAGGGUACGGCUCAUUUUUUGAGCAAAGAGCAGUACGGCUCACUGGUUGAGGUAGCUCAUGCUUUCUUUUAAAAUCAUAAGAUAACUGAUGAUCAGAAACAUAUUCGAGAACAACAGGCACGUGAGGUUUGUGUUCCGAACUUAUCAAUUUUAUCUCUUUUGCCGCCGAUUCUUUGAUAUUUUUCUGUUGAUAUAUUCUUUAGAGAUCUGCCUCAAGAUGUUUAUCAAUAUGAAUGCUCCAAUGAAAUUAGAAACUUUUUGAAAAUUUCAAGCAUUGUGACUUUAUAGAUCAAGUGACUUUUUGAUGAUUUUGAUUUUGAUUUUUGAUUGUUUUGCCUUGGCAUAUUUAAAAUUUCAGGCAUUCGAAAAAUUAUCUACACAGCUCGUAUGUUUAAUAUGGAUUCUGUAACUUUUUGAAAAGUGAUUAUGUAAGAUUGGUUUUCAUACUUCCUGGCCAGUCUCUAUCAAUACACCAAUUUUAAAUAAGUGUUAAAUUAAGAUAUCGAUUGAGUUUCGGGCCCAGACUGUUCUCUUAAGUCGAGAUUAAUUUUGAACUUAGUUUUCGGCAAAACUCAACUUACCAGAGUAUGAAACAUUUGUUAACUAUU